ACUGGAACAGAAUGGAGUCUCUCUUUGUUGGAGAAAGUCUGUGAGGGGAGGUAGCUGUGGUGACCCCGAUCCUUCGCCAAUUGCUCCUUGAGGGUAAGGGGUAAGAAGAAGGAACUACAAUUCCCAGGAUACCACUCGGCCAAUCUACCACCUUGCCCCGCCCCUGGACACGCCUAUCCGCAGACGGUCUCUAUAAAAGGCCAGAAUGGCCCAAGGGCGCGCAGAGCCCAGUAGUGCCGCGGAAAGUGUUUGCUUCUCGCGGUGCCUCUGCGCAUCCAGAGCUUUGCUGCCUGGCGAGCGUCCUCCCUGUACCACGGGGUCCUCGCCCGACCUACAAACCCGAGGCUCCUAUGAGAUAUUCUGGAUUCGCCAGAGGGGUUUCUGCUAGUGCGGAUUGUGUGCUGACGAUGCUCAUAGAAGAAAGGCGCAGAGCUAUGCGAGGAGACAGGAUGCACCGGUCAGAACCUUCGGUGGCCUCCGCUCGCUGCUCUUGGCGCGGGUCCGCUCUUGGAGAUCGCGCUGCUUGGGAGGCCGGGCGCGCGAUCUCCGCGCUGUCCACGCGGGGCCGCGGCGCGGUGGCCCCACUUUGGCUUUGGGUACUAGAUGGACAGUGGGGAAAGGGGUGGGGGCUCCGGGUCCCCUAACGUGGAUUACUUGGUGUUUAUCAACUGGAUUUAGAAGACUCGCGACCUGGUCUCUAUCAUCCGUGGAUUGUCUUUCCAUCUCCCAGCCGCUCUUCCACCUGGAGGUGAAACCAGAGUGUCUGCUUGCAUGGAAGAAGGACAAGAGAAAGGCCUAGAAGGAGGCUGACUAAAGGCUGUUCCAGCUCACCUAAUAUGCUGCUCACCCGGAACUCUGUGGAACCAUGGAAAAUAUGCCCCGGCUCUCCUAUCAGGAAUCAGCUGAGAUCUGGCUGCUUCUUGAGAGGCUAGAGCCCUGGAUUCAAUUGAAGAACAUUAUGUUGGAGAGUAGAGAAACUUCUAGACUGUGCAGACAUUUGGGAAGGAAUAGUCUGUUUCUACUUGAAUGAAGAAAGACGCGGGGAAGGCUCACCAGCCCAGCUCAUCUACUGCCUGGUAGCAAACAAGUCCUCUGCUGCCACUACCCAGGACAGUCUUGCCCGCUCUGCCCCCGUCCGGGUUCCACACCCUUCCCUGCCUCACCCUGCCUCCUGUGCCCACCUCGCCUCUGGACCCAGAGAUUCUUCUUGUUUGCUCUGUCCUCCCUCCAGCAGGAUAUGGGGUGAAUAGUUAACUACACUCGGGUUGAAUGAGAUCUUGAUUUUUUUACUUCUGUUCCCCGGAAAGAGGUCAGUCUCUGUGCAUGGCACCCGGCCUGGAAGCAGCACAAUACUCCAGAGUGAUCCAAGAUCCGCCCGGAUGGUCCUGUGGGCCCUUGGAGGUCAGCGCUGAGGAGCAGCCAGCGCUGGAUCACACGAAGGUGUGCGUCUGCAUAGGCAGAGGUGAGCCCACUGCCCGGUCCAUCUUCUGUUGACACAAAGGCAAGGAGCUGUGAAGACUCCCUUCCGAGGUUGCAGUAGGAGAUUAACGUAUCCAGAGGCUUCAUGACCGAGCAGCUAAUUCUGUUGGUGGUUCCUCUUUCCUCUACUCUGUGAUGAUGACACACACACUCCAGUCAGGAACUGGAGCCUUCUCAAUUCCAUCGUCUAUGGCCCCCCACUUUCGUAGUUGGAAAUCCUUCCUGAUCAUCCCUUGAUUCCCCCUUCUUGACUACACUCAAAGAUGUUUGAGCUCUUCUGUUUGCAAAAUGGAUGGACAGUUUGUUUACAUAAAACAAUCCAAGCUUCCUCGUGCUGUAUCUGGUGUAUUUGUACGGCUCUUCGGUGACUUUAAUAUGGAGUGUUGACUUUGGCCUCUUAGAUUCUCCAUGGUGGAACCGAGAAUGCCUCUUGAAGAUUUUCAGUGCCGCUGAAAUGUUAAGAAGGCUUGCAGACAUCCCCUUCCUCCCUCUUCCCCCACCUCCUUCUUUCCUAAGCAGCUUCUGUUGUAUAAAUCCCUUCAUUUAAACCCCUCUGUGGAUGUUGUCGUUUCUAAAGUGACAGUGGAUAAGAUGACAGGAGUGGAUGGAGGGGCUGCCCAGGUGGCCUGCUAUGAAGUCCGGUACUUAGACUCAGCAGCCAUAGAGAUAGCAGGGACCGUAGGAUCCAGACCAUCGGGCCCCAGAAAUAUCAUCAGAAACAAUGUUUCUAAUGCCCACAUUCCACGCUCUGUAGAGCCGGGGAAACCCAGUCAUCCCGGCUGCUCAGGACAAGGGAUUUCUCAAGACAAAAGAUUUUGUGGGGGCUGAACCUGCUGCAGACUGGAGAAAACUGUCAUAAUUGGUCAUCCUAGUAAGUGAAGCUGUGAUCAUAUCUCUCUCGCUGCUACAGCAAGAGGAAGCUCCUAGAUAACUUUGCCGUUCUCCAUUCAGAGCCGUGCGUCUGGUCUCUGAUCGGCCACAGGACAGCCUCCAGGUAGACAGGACUAUCUGCCCCGUCCUGACCAAAUCUAUUAUUUGUAAGAUGGUAGGGUUGUCAUGUUUUGAAAACAGUGUUAGGCGUGAUGGGCCAGUUAAGACUAUGUCCUUGUGGCAGAAAUGCAAAUGAACGGACAUUGCUCUAUGACAGCCCUAUCUAUGUAGGUGACACUUACCUCUUAUUAAAAAUGAAGUUGUCCUUGAGGAAGCAGCCCCACAGCCACCAGGAUAGUAUAGGAUACACCACACUCAGGUUCCUCUGUGUGUGUGUGUGUGUGUGUGUGUGUGUGUGUGUGUGUGUGUGCACCUGUGCAAACAUGUGCUGUGCAGAAUAAAUGAAGAUCAAAAAUUUACAUCUUUGCUAGACAGAGACAAAGAGCCGAAAUCUUGGGGACAAUGUCUGGAAAGCAAGGGACUUGGCUAGGAGACUUCCUGGAAGUCCUUUGAACUGUAGCAUUUAUUUAAAAUAUCAAGGGCAUGUCGACUGGGGACAAGUGUGUACUUUCUUUCUAAAGUCCUGCCUGAUAACCUUUGGGUUCCACUCAGCGAGCAUUACCUUCUCAGUCACCAGCAUCAGGGUGUGGGUGGGACUUUAGUGGGGGUGGGGAAGGGAGGAGCCAUGCCAAUCCAAUUCGGGGUAUUCGUGACAGGUAAGAACAAUUGAAAGGUAAAUUACAGGUUCCCCUGAAGCUUAGAAGAGCCAAGUUUUCAGGAUCACCUGGCACCUGCAGUUGUCGCUGCCUGUCAGGGGAUUCCGCCCCCACCCCACCACGUCCCUCUGCUGAAAGCUGGGCACGAGGGUUCAUCACGCUGGAGUAGGGGCCUCCCACUAAUCCUGCUUGCUCAUCUUGUGUUGCCUGGCCACAGGGAGGUAAUUAUACACUCGGGUAGAGAGGAGCACCCAGGAAUCCAGGGAUUUGGGCAUCAUUCUUGAGAACCCCCAUGCACCAGGAAAAAUGCUAGCCUGUAUCCUUUCUUUUGGAUGCUGUCUUUGAAAAGAUGAACAUGGGAUUGGGGAGUUGGCUCAAUCGAGAGAGUGCUUCUGGACCAGUGUGUGGUGGUGUACAUUUAUAAACCCAGUGCUUGGGAAGACAGAUCCCUGGGGUUCACUGCUCAGCCAGCCUGGCCUACUUGGCAAGUGCCAGGCUGAUGAGAGAUCCUUUCUUGAAAACUAAAGGGGCUGGAGGGGUAGCUCAGUGGUUAGGAGUGCUCAGUGCUCUUGCAAAGAACCAGAGAUCAGUUCCCAGCACCCACACUGGGUAUCUUAGAGCUGUCUGUAACUUCAGCUCCAAGGGAUCUCACACCCUUUUCUGACCUCUUCAGGUACUUACAUACACAUACAAAUACAGACACAAUCGUAUAUAUGUACACACAGAGAGAGAGAGAGAGAGACAGAGACAGAGACAGAGACAGAGACAGAGACAGAGAGACAGAGGCAGAGACAGAGACAGAGAGACAGAGACAGAGACAGAGAGAGAAGGUUGGGUAACUCUUGAGGAACAACAUGCGAGGUUGUUUUUUGAUCUCUGCUUGCACAUGUGUGUGCCCUCUUGAGAACUCAUACACACAUACAUGCAUGCAACAUUCACUCAAAGGUGGUCAUGUUUCAGCUGCUCCCUUCACGUGUACCCCACCUUCAUUCUUUGGUCCUAGAAGGAGCUUUGCUAUUGAGACAAAGGCAGCCUUCUUGCCCUUCCUUCCCAGCCACAUUUCUGUCAGUUUAAAUGACACCAUCAGCCAAGGUGGUUUAAACUCAUUGCAGUUUUCUGCAUCAACCCAGCUCACACAAUUAUCUGGACCAGAUGAUCAUCCAGACCCGGGAGGUAGCCUUUAGUCAAGAGGGAGUUGCAAAGGAAGGCUGAACAGUCUACAGCAUAAAAGUGGAAAGAAAAGGAGAGAGAUUCAGACUAUUUCCUGUGGCCAGGAUUGCCAGUUCCCCGAUGAGAGAUUUUGGACCGAUGUAAAUCACAGGGCAGGGAAACAGGAGAACUGAGAUUUUGAUGUCAGCCACCCCCUCGUUUUAGCUCCUUGCAUUUACCAUGGUGUGGCUGGGCACACCACACACUGGGAUCCAGAUUGCUGUCAUAUCUGAAGCCAUCAGUUUUCUAGGAGUUGAUGUCUUAAACAUCUGCUGGUUUGGGUUUUCCCAUUAGCUCUUGUCUAUGGGAGGACAGAAAUCACCUGAUCCACCUCCUAACGACUCCAACCUCAGUUAUGAUCAUGACUACAUUUCAAAAUCACUCCACAUUCUUGGGAUCUUAUGGGAUAUUUGAACUCGACGGUGACUCAAAACCACACUCCGGUUCUCAAAUGGCCCUGGGAACCUUUCUAUAGAGAUAGGAGUGUCGAAUUGUUAAAGCUGGGAAGAUGUUCUUUACGGUGAAGCUUGGCCUCCUGUACAGGAGACUGCAGUUUGAGGAACAAAGGGAGACUUUGGAAAUGACCACUGAUUGUGGGUAAGACUCUUAAAGCUAGACUUGUGGAAAGCGGUGGCAAGCCUAAAGAGGUCCCUGGGCCUGUGGUAGGUUGUAGAGUCGUCUGGAGACCUGAGGUCUACUCCUUGGCUUCCAGUAGCCCAAGGUCACAUGCUAAUCAUUCCUCCCUGCCUUUGAGCUCAGUUUUCUCAGGCGUGCAUUGGAGCAUGAGAGUAAAGAAGACGACUGCGUGUCAGGUUGAUUGCCCUGCUCUCCCUGCUCACCCUGCUCGCCCUGGCUGGUGUCUUAACUGUUUCCUGAUAGGUAGCUCAUUGUCCCUUUAGCCAUACAAGCGAGAUUUAGGGCUGUCCCAUCCUGGGAUGGCCAUCACCAAAGAACACUUCAAAGAUGUUUGCAAAUGUUGUCAGUUGCGCCGAGCACGAGUUUGUUGAAGGGACAGGCAAAUAGACAGUCGGUGACAGGAGUGCCCAGGCCAUUCACCCCUGGGUGACUGUUAAGGCAAGGGGUGGGGAGACUCUGCCUGCCAUUUUGACCAAUAAAUAAAAAUGGGGAACUCGGCGUGGUUCAAACCAUAGAGGAUUUAUUAGUUUGCUUAGUGAAGGGCAAAUAUUAAGUCUGAAGUCGACUCAUCCUGGGUCCUGCCUUUUGUGUGCUGCCAGGAGCCGAUAUGCUCCAAGUUAUUAAGUUCUCUUUAGGGUUUUCGUUUUUUUUUUUUUUUUUAAUUCUUAAACAUUGCUUUCUGUCUCCCUCUUUUCUUCCUCCCUUCAUCUAUCCUUUCCACCUCCUAUCCUUUCUAGAAACUGGAGGCGGAAGACUCUGCCGCCAUUACAGAUUUCUCUGUAGCAAGGGCUCUGGCUGGCCUGGGGUCGAACUGAGCUGCCUACAGUUGGGCUGGUCUUGGGAAGUGAGCUCACUAGGUUGUCUUUCGGACUCCCUGGACUUCAGAGUGCUAAUAGGCAAGGGAUGUGUUCCUCAUUAAACUUAGAACGAAUACAGCGGCAAGUGUUAGAAAGCCUGGACCACAGCUACUCUAAGUCAUAACCUCACUGUCCUAGGGUACAAUACCUGCAUACCAUGCAUGGCAGGGGGCUUCAGCAGACAUGUUGAGAGAGGUACUACUUAAGGGGGGUGGGUACACAGGACAAGACUAGCAGAACAGAGGGCUAAAGAGUCUACUUAACUUCCAAGAACCAGUGGAAUGUGAAGAGUCCCACUGUAAGGUCCUGAAGCGGUGGGGUGCUCAGGUUUCCUGUGGGGGUACAGUACUCCAGGGCACACUGCUCUACAUCACACUCUCAGUGUUGCUGUCCAGGUCUGCCCCAGGAGACCAUCCGGGAAUGUCCCUCUUAUUUCUUAGCCCUGGGCAUUACAGCUCCCCAUCCAUUGCUCAUGCCCCACUGUUGGGAAUGAUUUGGAACUGCUUCAUGAUGAAAGUUGAUCUCGUAUUCCAGUAAUGAGCUUUUAUUGAAUGGGGCGUGUUGGCUCUCCAUAGCUUUAGCAAAUACCAGAGAUAAUCGACGUUUAAAGAGGAAAGGUUUAUUUUGGCUCGUGGUUUUGGAGAUUCCGGUCAGAGCCAUUACUUGGGGACAAAUGUGAACCGGCAGCAAGCGGCAGAGCAAAUCCACCCAUUUCACGGUUGGAUAGAGAAGGAGGGUCCUGAAUCCCAAGUCUCCCUAAGCUUCUUUCCCCAGUAGCAUGAGGGCUUUUUAGAGGUCUGAGCCUUUAGCACAUAAGCCUUUUGUGUGUGUGUGUGUAUGGGUGAGUGGGUGUUCCAGGUUCAAACUGUAGCCUACAUGAGAUUUCAAAUCUUUUGCCCACCUUCAUGGUGAAGUCUUGUUUUGAAGGAUAGAUGGUAGGCACCAGGGAAACCCUAUGGGUUUAUCAAAGCUUGUCUGAAAUGUUCCCUUUUCUGGGAAGCCCUCUUUGAUUUCUCCUUCCCUCUGAAUCAGUUGGAGCAGCCCCCGUGGGUAUUUUAUGAAGCAUGUUGUAACAUGUAUAUACAUAUAUACUACAUGUAUACAUACAUAUGUACAUAGACACGGUCUCUCCUCCAGUGACCAUACACUAGUAUCUCAACUAUAUUUAGGUUGAAUUAUUCUGAGUGUCUCCUCCUACCUCUUCUGUUAGAAUAAGAAGCCAGUUAUUCCUUAUGGAUUGAAAGUUGACCCCCUAAUUGCCCAGUGGUGUUUAGCCCUCAGGACAGGUGCUCUGAUGGGCCCCUCACAGCUUCUCUCUAGUCACUGGAAGACUACAGGCAUCCAUUGCCUCGUCUAAGCCUUACAGGUUGGUGUUGGGGCUCGGCAGCAGGGCCACUGACCUGGCAAACGAACAAACAAGAUGUGAAGUUGACUUUCCCUGUUUGCAGUCUGUCACCGCGCGGAGUGUCACAUCUGCCUGCUCUUUGUUUGCCUCCUGAUAAUCAAUAAAGUGUUAUCAGAACAACAGAGAAAA